CCGACGGUGAGAGACGAAAGCUGGGGGAGCAAACCGGAUUAGAUACCCGGGUAGUCCCAGCCGUAAACGAUGUGCGUUAGGUGUAUCGGUGACCACGAGUCACCGAGGUGCCGAAGAGAAAUCGUGAAACGUACCGUCUGGGAAGUACGGUCGCAAGGCUGAAACUUAAAGGAAUUGGCGGGGGAGCACCACAACAGGUGGAGCCUGCGGUUUAAUCGGACUCAACGCCGGGAAACUCACCAGAUAAGACAGCUGAAUGAUAGUCGGGCUGAAGACUCUACUUGACUAGCUGAGAGGAGGUGCAUGGCCGUCGUCAGUUCGUACUGUGAAGCAUCCUGUUAAGUCAGGCAACGAGCGAGACCCACGCCAACAGUUGCU
rnacentral:rRNA from 1 species